rnacentral:rRNA from 1 species
CACAGGUGGUCGGGUAGAGAAUACCAAGGCGCUUGAGAGAACUCGGGUGAAGGAACUAGGCAAAAUGGUACCGUAACUUCGGGAGAAGGUACGCUCUUGAUGGUGAAGUCCCUUGCGGAUGGAGCUGACGAGAGUCGCAGAUACCAGGUGGCUGCAACUGUUUAUUAAAAACACAGCACUGUGCAAAAUCGUAAGAUGACGUAUACGGUGUGACGCCUGCCCGGUGCCGGAAGGUUAAUUGAUGGGGUUAGCGUAAGCGAAGCUCUUGAUCGAAGCCCCGGUAAACGGCGGCCGUAACUAUAACGGUCCUAAGGUAGCGAAAUUCCUUGUCGGGUAAGUUCCGACCUGCACGAAUGGCGUAAUGAUGGCCACGCUGUCUCCACCCGAGACUCAGUGAAAUUGAAAUCGCUGUGAAGAUGCAGUGUACCCGCGGCUAGACGGAAAGACCCCGUGAACCUUUACUACAGCUUGGCACUGAACAUUGAACCUACAUGUGUAGGAUAGGUGGGAGGCUUUGAAGACGUGACGCCAGUUGCGUUGGAGCCGUCCUUGAAAUACCACCCUUGUAUGUUUGAUGUUCUAACGUUGGCCCCUAAUCGGGGUUGCGGACAGUGCCUGGUGGGUAGUUUGACUGGGGCGGUCUCCUCCCAAAGAGUAACGGAGGAGCACGAAGGUGGGCUAAUCACGGUUGGACAUCGUGAGGUUAGUGCAAUGGCAUAAGCCCGCUUAACUGCGAGAAUGACGGUUCGAGCAGGUGCGAAAGCAGGUCAUAGUGAUCCGGUGGUUCUGAAUGGAAGGGCCAUCGCUCAACGGAUAAAAGGUACUCCGGGGAUAACAGGCUGAUACCGCCCAAGAGUUCAUAUCGACGGCGGUGUUUGGCACCUCGAUGUCGGCUCAUCACAUCCUGGGGCUGAAGUCGGUCCCAAGGGUAUGGCUGUUCGCCAUUUAAAGUGGUACGCGAGCUGGGUUUAGAACGUCGUGAGACAGUUCGGUCCCUAUCUGCCGUGGGCGUUGGAAGAUUGAAGGGGGCUGCUCCUAGUACGAGAGGACCGGAGUGGACGAACCUCUGGUGUUCGGGUUGUGUCGCCAGACGCAUUGCCCGGUAGCUAAGUUCGGAAUCGAUAACCGCUGAAAGCAUCUAAGCGGGAAGCGAGCCCUGAGAUGAGUCUU